GGAAAAUUGGAAAAUUGGAUUUUAUAUUUCAUUCCUCCUCUCCUCUUCGACAACUAUGAUGUCCAACUCGACCUCUGCCUCCAAUCCAACUCCAAGAAUCAUUGGAUUGACGACGGCGACUCGACAACAACCUCAUUUCCUUGGCCAACCCUACUUAUCUUCUUCAUGCCAGUUCCCAAAUAUCACUCCCUUCCCUUUACUCUUCACAAAUCACAAAAACAAGAAGUUACCCAUUUUCAACCCUAAAGGCCUAAUUUAUUGCCCUUUUUCAGUGUUUGUUACCUCUCUUUUUUGUGCGGAUCGUCAAUUUAUUGUCUGUCCUCUUCGAUUUGAUCAUGGUAGAUUGAUGUUAAGAAGGGCCUUUGACUACAUUUAUCUCAAUCAGAGUGUUGUUGUCUUGCUGAUGAAGGCUUGUGAAUUGUGACAGCAGAAUUCUCAACGGCAUGAUUCCAUCAUUUUUGUCGAAAUUAUACUUUUCAGAGAGAAGAAUUCAAUGACUGAAAAAGAGGGGUAGCAAAGAUGAAGUGUUUUUACCUCAGAGACUGAAUUUAGUGGGAGAUUAUGUAAGAGGCUGUUUUGUUGCCCAGUGCCGGUCCCACAUGCUUUCACUCUUUUUAUUUUUAUUUUUGUUUUAUUUUGUCCCCCUUCUUUGCUUAGCUUUCUUUUCUUUUUUCAAUACGAGACCUGUUAGGCUGCGGAGCCCUCCAGACUGGCACGGCUCUUACCGUGCUAUUAGUGAUGACAAUGGGCCGAGUCGAUCUUUUAACCCACGAGGCGAGCUCGGCUUGGCCCACGAGCUCACGGGCUGAGUCUAGUCUAGCCGAGCCCACGAGCUCAUGAUUUUUUAAUUUUUUUUUGAUAAAUUUGCACGUUUUAUUUUUUUUUUUUUAAAUUCAUAUUUUUUGACGAGCACACGAGCUCGGCUAGUGGGCUCGUCAAAAUGGCUUGUGGGCUCAACAAGCUGAGCAGGCUCGACUCGUGGGAUUAAGCCCUUGCUUGGCUCGGGCUCGUCAUUUGAUGAACCCGAACCGUCCAUGAGUCUAGUUUUGACGAGUUUGACAUUCCUACGUGCUACACUGCCUGGGCCAGUGAUGGAACAGAAGAUUGAGGCCCUGUUUAGGCACCAUUUUUUGGGGGAAAAUAGGUUUUGGAAUAGUGAUUGUUUGGAAAAUGUGUGGUUAAAAUAGGGAAAAGUUUCGAAUUUACAUAUAAAAUUAAUUUAUGAGAGAAUGUGAGUUUUGGAAAAAGAAAAUUAAUUUUGAGAAAAAUGAAGCUAGGAGGAAUAUUUUACCUCAAGAGAGUGAAUUUAGUGACUAGAUGAUGGACAUAAGAAAGUACUUGGUCAUCAUUAUUCCAGAAUUGCUAAGAAUCCGAUUUCUCAUGGUCUUUCUUUAUAUAUCUAAUGUAAGUUUUCUAUGGGCUGUCACGGUUCACUUGUGGAUCAUGUGUUGUUUCUCUAGUAUUAAUUUAUGUGGGUUCAGACAUUUUCUGAAAAUUUCUGCAUAUUUCAUUCUCUUUUACCGAACAUGCUGUCCAUCUGCCCUUCUUCACGAUGAAACUCUCAAAAGAAUAGUUCAUGUUUGGGCGGCUAAUCUGGAGUUCCUACGUUGUUGUAUUGCCCAAGUUCAGACAGAGCCGGAGCCAAUUUCAAAUUGGGAUCCUAUAUUUUGAUUCUCCUUGUAAAGAGUUUUAACCUAUUUAAUGGAGAUUAAACUCUUGUUUGAAUCCAA